rnacentral:tRNA from 1 species
UAGCUCAGUGGUAGAGUGUGUGCUUAGCAUGCACGAGGUCCUGGGUUCAAUCCCCAG